GUUGUCGCGUCAGUUGUUGAUAAAACAACUUGAAGUUCUAAAUCGACACAUCACUCAUUUAAUCUCUAAACUUUGAAGAUCUCCGGUUGUGAUACCUUCCUGAUUUGAACAACUUAUCAUUGCAUCCACCUCCUCAGACAAUCCGUUACUCGACGGUCAGGUUUUUUUUCUUCCGGAUCCCUUCACGGAUACACUGGAUGACGGAAGAUGGCGAGCUACCCACCCACCAGCUGGUGGUAGGAAACAGAACUACACUUUCCAUAUAGGAACUGAACAGACUCUAAGGAGUAUCAAAAAGGGAAAAUAACUAUUCUCCCUUCAUUUUUGGACCUCUUGUGGACUCUAUUAGG